UACGUAGGGGGCAAGCGUUGUCCGGAAUCAUUGGGCGUAAAGAGCGUGUAGGCGGCAACGCAAGUCGGGCGUGAAAUCCCACGGCUCAACCGUGGAAGUGCACUCGAAACUGCGUAGCUAGAGUCCUGGAGAGGAAGGUGGAAUGCUUGGUGUAGAGGUGAAAUUCGUAGAUAUCAAGCGGAACACCGGUGGCGAAGGCGGCAUCCUGGACCGACACUGACGCUGAGGAGCGAAAGCCAGGGAGGCAAAGCGGG
rnacentral:rRNA from 1 species